rnacentral:lncRNA from 1 species
AUUGAUUUCUACACCGAUUACUUCAUCUCUCUUCACAAACAACGGAGUGCAAACGCGAUGUACUGAAAAGCAUAUCAGCUCAGCACUCAUGUUCAGCCUUCAUGUUAUCACUUUACCAAUAAACAGGAACAGCGGCCGACAUCUAACAGCAGGAAGCUGAACAACAAGGAGUUGAGAUGAGAGGAAGAGCUGCCUUCUUUUUGUGUACAUUUAAGAUGUGGCUGAUACGUUCUCUCCGUUCUGGAUGCGGAUCGUUUAAUGUCUGGGUUGUUCCUUCCAUCGGUUCUGCUUUAAUGGACUCUGAAAUUCCAUCAGUAAAGCUGUCCUUCCCCA